UACGGGGGGAGCAAGCGUUGUUCGGAUUUACUGGGCGUAAAGGGCGGGUAGGCGGCCUCUGCAAGUCGACUGUGAAAUCUCCGGGCUUAACCCGGAACGGUCAGCCGAUACUGCAGGGCUAGAGUGCAGAAGGGGCAACUGGAAUUCUCGGUGUAGCGGUGAAAUGCGUAGAUAUCGAGAGGAACACCUGCGGCGAAGGCGGGUUGCUGGGCUGACACUGACGCUGAACUGCGAAAGCUAGGGGAGCGAACGGG
rnacentral:rRNA from 1 species